rnacentral:ncRNA from 1 species
GUCGAUUAUGAUAAGAUAGAGAGGGCAAAAAAGAACAGAUCAUUAAGUUAAAUUUAUAUAAUGAUUUGUCGUCAAGACUAUAAUUUAAAGACGAACCAAUUAGGUAUAAGAUAACAGGUCUCGGAUUUUGGCACGAAAUUCAUCCACUCAUUUGGCUAAAUAGAAUUUUGGCAUUAUAGCCGUUCUUAGUUGGUGGAGCGAUUUGUCUGGUUAAUUCAGAUAACGAACGAGACUUUAACCUGCUAAAUAGUAGACUGGUCCUCUGUGCUCGUUUAGGGAGCGGCUUCUAUUGCUUCUUUAUGGAGUAGUGUGGUCAUGAUCCGGCGGGUGCGGUGCCAGUUUUUACUUCUUAGACGGAAAAGGGGCACACUUCAGUCGCACGAAAUUGAGCAAUAACAGGUCUGUGAUGCCCUUAGAUGUCCGAGGCCACACGUGCGCUACAAUGACGGUGCAAGCGAGUCUGGGAACCUGGCCUGAAAGGGUUGGGCAAACUAUUUCAUCACCGUCGUGACUGGGAUCGGGGCUUGCAAUUAUUCCCCGUGAAAGAGGAAUUCCUGGUAAGUGCAAGCCAUAAGCUUGCGCUGAUUACGUCCCUGCCCUUUGUACACACCGCCCGUCGCUACUACCGAUUGAAUGGUUUAGUGAGGUCACUAGAAGAUCGUCCGCAAAUUAUAGUCUCAACGAUUUUACUAGAAGUCAUCUACGUUAG